ACCCUGUUCGUUUAACUGGCAGGAUGCCUGGCUCUGAUCCAGGUGGUUGAGGUUCGAAUCCUCGACGGGGUG
rnacentral:tRNA from 1 species